GCAGAAUACCACACAGGACCUACCAUCUCAGGAAACAUGAAAGAUGUUUCAUCUUCCCAGGCUGUAGUCCAGAUCUCUUCUAGAUUCACCUUAAUCAUGCCAGAGGAAACCCUCUGAUAAUCCCUCAUACACCUAAACAAGAGCUUAUCCUGAUCACUCCUUAACGCUAAAAAGCGAUUAAUUUUACAUUUGCUGGACUACAAACAAGCAAGUGCACUUGGUUUAGCUCCUUCCACACUGCUCGUGGUUCUCUGAAAGGCUUUAAGAGGUAGAAGCUGCUUUUCUCUUCAGGUACCUGUGUGAGCCCUGAUGGAGCUGAAGAGUGUGCAGGUGAAGGGUAGGAGCCUCCAUAAAACCUACUCUGCUCUUCUGUGAACCGAUGGAGACCAUUUUUGGAUCACACUGGAAUUGGCACCCUUCAAAGGGUGAGAUUGCAUCCAUCACCCUUCAGUCAGAUGUUGCCACUUCUCAGUUAUUCACCCUUUCCCAUCCCAGAGGCUGUGUUGAGCACAACCUCUUCUAUGGACUUCUACUCAAUAGCAAGCAUGUUAGACAGCACAAACAGCAGUGGCAACUGCUCGACCAUAAGUGAAACUGCACAGGAGCACUGGUUAUCUGACAAGAUGUAUCACUGUAAAUUUCAAUAACAGACAAGAACAACUAACUUUGAGAAGCCUGAUAUCAUAGAAUGGCCUGGGUUGAAAAGGACCACAAUGAUCAUCUAGUUUUAACCCCCUGCUAUGUGCAGGGUUGCCAACCACCAGACCAGGCUGCCCAGAGCUUCAUCCAGCCACAUCCAUGUAUCUCAGAAGCCUGUUUCAUCUAACUGGUGAUUCUUCAGCUAGUAAAACACAGUAGGUACUAUUUUGAUUCAAAGUGGGGAAUUGGCAUUGACAGGGACAAGAAAGGGAUGUAAAUGUUUGUAUGAACAUGUAAGCAAGAGAAUCUCAACUGACUGCCAAUGAGAAUUUUUAAAUUACAGUUAAUUGAAGUCAAGAGAUCUCCAACUGAUUGUGUAACUCAGCCACGCAACUGAAACCUUUGUGUAUGUUUAACUAGUUUAACUCAUUCAUCCUAAAGCACCACUUCAAAAUUUGAGUAACCUCUUAAUUCCCCCAAGGCUCCAUAAGCCAGCUUUGUGCUCAGCUCCACGUAUUCCUUUCAGAAUAACUGUAUCAGUUAUGAGACAAUGCUGAUUAAUUUAUAAAGGUAUAAAUUAAUAAAAACACACAAGC
rnacentral:lncRNA from 7 species